rnacentral:rRNA from 1 species
ACGGAGGGGGCUAGCGUUGUUCGGAAUUACUGGGCGUAAAGCGCACGUAGGCGGCUUUGUAAGUUAGAGGUGAAAGCCCGGAGCUCAACUCCGGAAAUGCCUUUAAGACUGCAUCGCUAGAACGUUGGAGAGGUAAGUGGAAUUCCGAGUGUAGAGGUGAAAUUCGUAGAUAUUCGGAAGAACACCGGUGGCGAAGGCGGCAUCCUGGACCGAGAUCGACGCUGAGGCGCGAAAGCUAGGGGAGCAAACAGGA